rnacentral:misc_RNA from 1 species
GGAAGAACGUAGCGAAAUGCGAUAAGUAGUGUGAAUUGCAGAAUUCAGUGAAUCAUCGAAUCUUUGAACGCACAUUGCGCCCCAUGGUAUUCCGUGGGGCAUGCCUGUUCGAGCGUCAUUUACCCCCUCAAGCUCCGCUUGGUGUUGGGCGUCUGUCCCGCUUCGCGCGCGGACUCGCCCCAAAGGUAUUGGCAGCGGUCGUGCCAGCUUCUCGCGCAGCACAUUGCGCUUCUCGAGGCACCGGUGGGCCCGCGUCCAUCAAGCUCACCCCCCCAGUUUGACCUCGGAUCAGGUAGGGAUACCCGCUGAACUUAAGCAUAUCAAUAAGCGGAGGA